rnacentral:miRNA from 1 species
UACACUCGGGCUGAUCUUUCCAGGC